rnacentral:misc_RNA from 1 species
AAUGAUGACCUAGUAACAUACACCUGCCAGCAGAAAAAGAGAACUAAUUCAGUAUGGCAAAAGGACUCAAAUGACACUAUCAUUUUUGGCAGAGAUGAACAUCUACAGUGAAUAUACACACGUAGGGCUAGGAAGUAGGAAGUACCUAUGUAUGUACACAUAAAAUAGCAACAUCUACCAUGGAAGUAUACUUUCAUAGAAUUAACCAUACUUAUUAAAGGCACAAUGUGCACGAAGGUGCAAAGAGGUCUUGGGGCCUAGGUGCAAGGCACAGGUAUUUACUUGAAUUACGUGAAGCGCAAAAUAUAUAUAUAUCAAUUUUGUGUCAAUACCAUUUCAUAUUUAACACUCAAAUAGACAAUCAACAACAUUUUUGCAAUAUAAAUAAAGUAAAACUAAACUAUUAUAGAUAUUAAUGUCUUAAAAACAAUACUAUAUUUCAAAUUCUAACUAGUAAAUAA